rnacentral:tRNA from 1 species
UGAGGAGUAGCUCAAUGGUAGAGCGUCUGACUUUGGUUCAGAAGGCUGUUGGUUCGAACCCAACCUUCUUAU